rnacentral:misc_RNA from 1 species
GUUCCAGCCACAAACAUAUCCAGGAUAAGAGCUUUGAGGUUGUCAUCAGUAAUAGGCACUUGUAGAUCAUCUCUUUUCUGAACCUUCAACAAUACAUGAACAAAAUCUUCUGAACCAUCCUCUCUGGUUUUCAUCAAAUGCUCUUUUAUAAUCUCAUCACAAACUUCUCUCAAAUCUUUCAAAUUAUUCAUCAAUCUCUUCUUCAUCCCACUCAGCCAAUUCACCCAUUCAAAAUCUGGAAAAAAAUCCCCAAAACAAAACCCAGCUAACAACGCCUGUGUCUCCGUCAGUACACUCACUAAAUCCUUAUCUUUCAAUUUAUCAUCAAUAAAUCUCUUCCCAAACGCUACUCUACACAAAAUAUCAUUCGCUAGACCGAAGAAAACCUGACUCAGAUCUACUUCAGAUUGAGAACGAGACGAAAUCAAUUCUA